UCACCUACCUGCAUGUUUGUGAGAGCUAAUUUGUCCAGAUGCCAUUUCUAAAGUCAUUAAUUAUGCAGGAAAAGGCAUUUCUUUAUCACUCAUGGACAGCUUAUAACCAUUAAUGAAUAAAAUACAUUAUUACUACUUAUUCUUCUCAGUUGGGAGACUGAAAAAAUGUCUGUACAUGACUUCCAUGACUGAGACCCAAGUGCUGGUUAGAAUGUACCUGGACACACCAAACUCAUGUGAAGGGAUGCUGGGCAUCCACAACUUCUACUUUAGUCCCUCUGACCACGAAAAACCAAUUGUCCCACCUGUAAUUAAAGCUCUGAAUCUUAUACUGUUAAAAUACUAAGGUGGAUCCUGCUUUGCUUAAGAAUCAGGCAGCUUGAAAUAGAGACUGUGAAAGUCAAACAAUGGGGUGGUUGUAAUUUCCUGAAACUGCUGUAUUUGAUUUGCCUUUAACUCAGUUAAGUGUCUUGGCAAACCUUUAGUUUGAAAUCUGUACAGGCUGAGCAUCACACCCUGCUAGGCCUAUCAACAGAUGGAGGAAUUACUGGAGGCAAAAUGUAUAUCUUUAUGCUACUUUUUUUUUUUUCCCUAUCAUUAUACUAAUCAUGCACUGAAAUGAUCAGUAACCCCAGAGAGUGACAGAUUUGUUUGCAGCAGAGGGUGGCCCUGGAGAAGCGUGGGCCUGACAGACACACAGGUGGUAGGGGCUUUCCCAACACGGGCUGACUUUUGUUGUGGGAAACUUGGGAGCUGAUGGUAAACAAGGAAAUCAGGUUUGCAUCCCAGAGAGUCUGGAAAACGAGAUGGUGUUUGGAUUGUCUAUGUGUGGAGCUGUGCAGGGGCUGUGCCCCGAGCCCUGCCCUGCUCCUGGGGCGUGGAAGCUGCAGGGCCCCCGUGCCUGGUCCUGCCCUUUCUGGAGGAGAUGAAAUCUGUCACAUCCUUGUGGUGCUCCAACGCUGAGCCCUCCCAGCCUGGGCCACCGUGGCAGCGCUUCCCAUUCAGCACUGAGAGGAGAUCCUGGACACACCAGGCUCGGUGCUACUGUCCUUUGAGGAGAGUGGGCCCUGCUCAGGAUGAGCUGGGUGAAAUACAGGAUCUUCACAUUCAGCUUUUGGAUGGAUGAGUAUCUCACAGCUACGAUGAAUUAACAGCUUUAUGACAACAUUUUCAAAAGCAAAGUAAUUUUGGAUGUGUCUAUCAGGAUGGAUGAAAACAGAUGCAAGUUUUUUCUGCCUUCAGUCCUGGCUAGUUGAAAAUUCUGGUGUGGAAGUUAGACACAGCUGCUUUCUGCUUUUGGGAAAUACCACAGCCAAGGAGUGAGACUUAAGCCUGUGAAAUAAUCCCCUCACUGGACAUGCAGAAGGAGCCGCGAUACUUGGCAGAUGUGAAAACAAAAUUGGAUGGCAGAGAAAAGGAUUUAAACAAGAGAUCCUAAGGAAGGUCAGCUCCUGGGGUGACAGCCCCAGAUUUACCCCCCUGGGCAGACCCCAAGGCAGCCUCGUGCCUGCACAGCUGCCCAGGAGGAGUUCAUGGCAUUUCCCCCAGAAUUUCCCCACCAGGGUGAG